AAAGGAUUCCUUCUCCUGAUCUAACUCCUACUGACCCUAGUAUUAUUCUCCCCUGACCUCCUAGGAGACCCGGACAACUACACCCCAGCCAACCCUCUCAGCACUCCCCCUCAUAUUAAGCCAGAGUGAUAUUUCCUAUUUGCCUACGCCAUCCUACGUUCUAUCCCCAACAAACUAGGCGGCGUAUUGGCCCUUAUCCUUUCCAUCUUAAUCUUAGCACUCAUCCCCACCCUGCACAUAUCAAAACAACGAAGCAUAAUAUUCCGACCUCUUAGUCAAUGCGUGUUCUGACUCUUAGUAGCAGACUUACUAACACUAACAUGAAUCGGCGGCCAGCCAGUGGAACACCCAUACGUAAUUAUCGGCCAACUAGCCUCAAUCCUCUACUUCUCCCUAAUUCUCAUCUUCAUACCACUCGCAAGCACCAUCGAAAACAACCUUCUAAAGUGAAGA